rnacentral:lncRNA from 10 species
AAUUGCCCUUUCGGCAUAUAAAAGUCUCUAAUCUCUUCUUCAGUCUCUUGGUAUCAUUCUUUUCCUAAAAUAUACAUUUGAUAAUGCCAUUUCUGUGUUUAGACACUUGAAACGAUUCUUCAGUGCCUACAGAGUAAAGUUCAAAGCCUUCUAUGAUCUAUCCCACCUUGAGUAACUGAUUUUACUUUCCAGUGUAUUCUUUCACUUUUCUUCUUUAACCCUCACCUCCUGUAUGU